rnacentral:rRNA from 1 species
ACUUAAAUUGAAGAGUUUGAUCAUGGCUCAGAUUGAACGCUGGCGGCAGGCCUAACACAUGCAAGUCGAGCGGUAGCACAGAGAGCUUGCUCUCGGGUGACGAGCGGCGGACGGGUGAGUAAUGUCUGGGAAACUGCCUGAUGGAGG